CAAGUGCAACAGUAUCAACAUUAAAAGUAUAAAAACAACUGGAACAAAACACAAAAGAAAACAAGGAAGUAUCUCAAGUACAACAGACACUAAUUCAUUAAACACGAUUGUUUGAAAACCCAAUUCAACUACUUCUAAUUGCCUAUAUUAAUGUACUGAUUAUGUUUGUGGUGCAGGUUGGAGCAGCAGUGUACCUGAGCCUUGUCAGCCUCCGCUCUCAUCCUGUCAGCAAACACCAGGGCUACAUGCUGACCGGGGUUGAAGAACCCUGGAGACUAGUCGGCCUGCAUCAGCUCACACCAGCGGAACAAGUCGCGCAGGUAGAACUCCCAGGGACUUCCCUUCUGACCCCAGCGCCGCUUCACACACACCUCCUGGACCAGCUGAAAUGCAGAAAGAAAACCUCACUUGUAAAACUUGGCCUGAUGCUCGCCUCGCAGGUCAUAUCUUCUGACAGCAGACAGAGAGGAACUCACCCUGUUACUGAACUCAACCAUCUUAGCUAUGAUCUCCUUAUCGAUGCUGGUGAAGAUGGAGUCUCCGAUGAACUCCAUGUCUUUGCUCCUUCAACAGUCAGCGGACCAAAUGGAGGACAGAGAUUCAGAAUGUCCUCACCCAAAUCAAGGAGGAAUCCUCCAACCAAGAUCUCUCUGCAAUUCUGGUCAUGAUGGCACAUUUCAAGGAAAAAGAAGAGGCUCUUUUCCUUUUGGCUGAUGACUGCAACCAAUGAUGAAAUUGAGGCUCAACUGACCCUACCAGGCACACCAAGGCUCAUCAUGUUAGGGGACCCUUUUACUUUCACAUAAUUACAGAAGAUGUACUGUUGUGAUCUGAUGUUGUGACCUCACUACUUGUGAUUUUGUAUUUUAAUUGGUCUGUUGUAUUUGAAUCUGUCAUAAACUGUUGUAUUUUAAUCUGUCAUAAACUGUUGUAUUUAUAUCAGUUAUGAACUGUUAUAUUUAUAUCUGUUAUGAACUGUCCUAUUUUACCAUGUUUUUCAUAUUGAACUUAAUAUUGAAAUGAAAUCAAUAAACAUAUUUUA